rnacentral:tRNA from 1 species
AGGGCUUUAUCUUAAUUAAAGAGUCUGAGUUGCAUUCAGAAGAUGUAAAUUAAUAUUUUGCAAGUCCUA